UACAGAGGGUGCGAGCGUUGUCCGGAAUCACUGGGCGUAAAGGGCGCGUAGGUGGUGGCUUAAGCGUGCGGUGAAAGCUCGGGGCUCAACUCCGAGUCGGCCGUGCGAACUGGGCUCACUGGAGCAUAGUAGAGGCAGGGUGGAAUUCCGGGUGUAGCGGUGGAAUGCGUAGAGAUCCGGAAGAACACCAGAGGCGAAGGCGGCGACCUGGACAAGCACUGACACUCAACUACGAAAGCGUGGGGAGCAAACAGG
rnacentral:rRNA from 1 species